rnacentral:rRNA from 1 species
CUAGGUUUCCCGUAGGUGAACCUGCGGAAGGAUCAUUA